rnacentral:pre_miRNA from 1 species
CUAUAGAAAGUUUCAUCAAUUUGUAUAGUUAAAAACUGGCGUGAUUGAGAGAAUAAACAAAUAGUAACAGAUUGUGUGUCACAUGUAUCUCAAGGGGUAAUUUUUAACAAUAGAAAUGAAUGAAAUUUUUAUCA